CGGCGGACGGGUGAGUAACGCGUGGGUAACCUGCCUCAUACAGGGGGAUAACAGUUGGAAACGGCUGCUAAUACCGCAUAAGCGCACAGUACCGCAUGGUACGGUGUGAAAAACUCCGGUGGUAUGAGAUGGACCCGCGUCUGAUUAGGUAGUUGGUGGGGUAACGGCCUACCAGCCGACGAUCAGUAGCCGACCUGAGAGGGUGACCGGCCACAUUGGGACUGAGACACGGCCCAA
rnacentral:rRNA from 1 species